AGGAAUAUUGGUCAAUGGCCGAGAGGCUGAACCAGCCAAGUCGCGUGAAGGAAGAAGGAUCUAUGGUUUGUAAACUUCUUUUAUAGGGGAAUAAAGUGGAGGACGUGUCCUUUUUUGUAUGUACCCUAUGAAUAAGCAUCGGCUAACUCCGUGCCAGCAGCCGCGGUAAUACGGAGGAUGCGAGCGUUAUCCGGAUUUAUUGGGUUUAAAGGGUGCGUAGGUGGUGAUUUAAGUCAGCGGUGAAAGUUUGUGGCUCAACCAUAAAAUUGCCGUUGAAACUGGGUUACUUGAGUGUGUUUGAGGUAGGCGGAAUGCGUGGUGUAGCGGUGAAAUGCAUAGAUAUCACGCAGAACUCCGAUUGCGAAGGCAGCUUACUAAACCAUAACUGACACUGAAGCACGAAAGCGUGGGGAUCAAACAGGAUUAGAUACCCUGGUAGUCCACGCAGUAAACGAUGAUUACUAGGAGUUUGCGAUACAAUGUAAGCUCUACAGCGAAAGCGUUAAGUAAUCCACCUGGGGAGUACGCCGGCAACGGUGAAACUCAAAGGAAUUGACGGGGGCCCGCACAAGCGGAGGAACAUGUGGUUUAAUUCGAUGAUACGCGAGGAACCUUACCCGGGUUUGAACGUAGUCUGACCGGAGUGGAAACACUCUUUCUAGCAAUAGCAGAUUACGAGGUGCUGCAUGGUUGUCGUCAGCUCGUGCCGUGAGGUGUCGGCUUAAGUGCCAUAACGAGCGCAACCCUUAUCACUAGUUACUAACAGGUGAAGCUGAGGACUCUGGUGAGACUGCCAGCGUAAGCUGUGAGGAAGGUGGGGAUGACGUCAAAUCAGCACGGCCCUUACAUCCGGGGCGACACACGUGUUACAAUGGCAUGGACAAAGGGCAGCUACCUGGUGACAGGAUGCUAAUCUCCAAACCAUGUCUCAGUUCGGAUCGGAGUCUGCAACUCGACUCCGUGAAGCUGGAUUCGCUAGUAAUCGCGCAUCAGCCAUGGCGCGGUGAAUACGUUCCCG
rnacentral:rRNA from 1 species